rnacentral:rRNA from 1 species
AAGUGUAAACUACACGAAACUGCGUGAGCUAAUCAUCAUUAUUGUAUUAUGUUACAUAAUAAUAAUGUGAAUGUCGAUUAGGGGUGAUAGGCCUCUCAAAUGCAAGAUAUCUUGAUUCUUAUGACAUGUAAUAGUACAAAGACAGAUUAAUAGUUAUAAGGCUUUUAAUUAGAAUUAAUUUUGUUAAAGUAGAAUAAGCGGGUUUAAUAGCCUACAUACAUAGUCUCCAAAUAUUAAUAAUGAAUAAAUUAUUUUGAAUUAGUAAGACUCAAUAAAUUUUAAAAUUUGAUAAUAAUGUUUUCAUUAGUAUUUAGAAGUUAUUGAUAGUGAAUUCGGCACAUUGCUUUCAACUGUUUACCAAAAACAUAGCUGCGUGAAGAUAUACGUGGUAAGUUCUGCUCAAUGAUAUUUAAAUAGCCGCAGUACCCUGACUGUGCAAAGGUAGCGUAAUCAUUUGUCUCUUAAUUGGAGUCCCGUAUGAAAGAAUAAAUGGGGGCAAUCUUUACCAUUAAUAAUAAAAAAACUUACUUAGUUGGUGCAAAAUCCUAUAAUUAAAUAAAAGACGAGAAGACCCUAGAAAUUUAUAUAAAUGUUUUGUUGGGGCAACAUAGUAGCAAGUAAUCUACUAUAUGUAUAUGACAUUCUGUAGAAAAACCAAAUUACUCUAGGGAUAACAGCAUAAUCUAUAAAUGUUUGUGACCUCGAUGUUGGAUUAGGGAGUUGUUGUCUAGA